rnacentral:rRNA from 1 species
GACGAACGCUGGCGGCGUGCCUAAUACAUGCAAGUAGAACGCUGAAGGAGGAGCUUGCUUCUCUGGAUGAGUUGCGAACGGGUGAGUAACGCGUAGGUAACCUGCCUGGUAGCGGGGGAUAACUAUUGGAAACGAUAGCUAAUACCGCAUAAUAGUAGAUGUUGCAUGACAUUUGCUUAAAAGGUGCAAUUGCAUCACUACCAGAUGGACCUGCGUUGUAUUAGCUAGUUGGUGGGGUAACGGCUCGCCAAGGCGACGAUACAUAGCCGAACUGAGAGGGUGGGCGGCCACGCUGGGAGUGAGACACGGCCCAGACGCCUACGGGAGGCAGCAGUAGGGAAUCUUCGGCAAUGGACGGAAGUCUGACCGAGCAACGCCGCGUGAGGGAAGAAGGUUUUCGGAUCGGAAAGCUCUGUUGUAAGAGAAGAACGAGGGUGAGAGUGGAAAGUUCACACUGUGACGGUAUCUUACCAGAAAGCGACGGCUAACUACGUG